UGAGCUGCUGGAGAUACUGUCUCAGACAAAGAACCCCACUGCUGUACAGCCUCACCUCCGCAAGUGCUUUGAGAAUAUUGCACGGCUGCUCUUCCAGGAGGACCUACAGAUCACACACAUGUACUCUGCAGAAGGGGAGGAGGUGAAGCUGGUUUUCCCCAUUUAUCCCACUGGCAAUGUGGAGAACUGGCUGCUGGAAGUCGAGAAAUCUAUGAAGGCCAGCGUGCGGGACAAUAUUGAAAGAUCGAUCAGGGUUUAUCCACAUACACCACGUAGUUCAUGGGUCUUGCAAUGGCCUGGGCAGGUGACCAUCGCUGGCUGUCAAACUUACUGGACAAAGGAAGUAUCUGAGGCCCUGGAGGCUGGGGAUUUGUCCACCAGGCUGU